rnacentral:tRNA from 1 species
GGCCCAAUCGUUAAGUUGGUUAAGACGUAAUAUUUUCACUAUUAAUUCGGGGGUUCAAUUCCCUCUUGGGCUA